rnacentral:rRNA from 1 species
AGUGAACGCUGGCGGUAUGCCUAACACAUGCAAGUCGAACGGCAGCACAGUAAGAGCUUGCUCUUACGGGUGGCGAGUGGCGGACGGGUGAGGCAUACAUCGGAAUCUACUUUUUCGUGGGGAAUAACGGAGGGAAACUUACGCUAAUACCUCAUACUACCUACGGCUUAAAGCAGGAGAUCUUCGGACCUUGCGCGAUUGAAUGAGCCGAUGUCGGAUUAGCUAGUUGGCGGGGUAAAGGCCCACCAAGGCGACGAUCCGUAGCUGGUCUGAGAGGAUGAUCAGCCACACUGGAACUGAGACACGGUCCAGACUCCUACGGGAGGCAGCAGUGGGGAAUAUUGGACAAUGGGCGCAAGCCUGAUCGAGCCAUGCCGCGUGGGUGAAGAAGGCCUUCGGGUUGUAAAGCCCUUUUGUUGGGAAAGAAAAGCAGCAGGUUAAUACCCGGCUGUUCUGACGGUACCCAAAGAAUAAGCACCGGCUAACUUCGUG